AGCAAAUCUGCUCUACCACGCAACAGAAGCAAACUCGCAGCACCCCUCCUCCUCAUCAGUCACCGCCUGGUCUUCUCGAUGGAGGUGGAGGAGUAGGGGAUCACGCCGGAUCAGAGGCGUGUGGGCACAGCGGUGGGCAUCUCCGGCAGCGGCGGCGACCUGCAGGCCAAGUGCUACGGCGGGGGCGCUCGAUUUAAUGCAGUGCCAUGGACCGGUCCCUGCAGAAGUGAGAGAAGAUGAGGGAGAGAGAGAAGGAAGGAGAGGAGCAUCGAUGGUGGUCCGAGCGCUGCCGCCUCCAUCCUUGCACCAUCUUCGUCACACGCAGCCGCCUCCUUCCGCACCCCUCUUCUUCGCGCACGGCAACAGAGGCAGGUCCUGUCAGGGAAUAAUAUUAUUCAGUUAGCAUCUUUUUUCGUGGAAGAGGAGUGAGAAUUUAAAGGUGCAUGCUACAUAGAAGCUUAGAUCUGUAAUCAAGCUGUGGAAGAGAGUACCGUAAGAGAUACUUCUAUAAGCAGAGUUGAAGAGCUCUCCAUGCUUAAGAUCUUUUCUAGGAUAAUUGCGUCGUUAAAUCUGAAGGAUUCACUCAUGUGCCAAAGCCAGCUCGGGGAAGCCUUCCUGGACUCCUGGUUGACCACAACAAUCACGACACGGUGAGUGGAUUUUGAAUCUUUCUUGAGCUGUCGGAUCGGAUUAGAUGUGUAUAUGGUAGUUAUGGACUGCUGACUGCUUAAUGUUGUGUUUCCUCUGUGUACUAUGGUGUGAGCUUAAGCGAGCGGAACGCCGAAGGAGGAUCUUGGGGAUGACGGAGGCAUCGACGACAACCUCAAAGGCGAGAGGGUUCAGGCUACUCUCUUGUGACGUUGGCUUAGGAAAAGUUAUUCGGCUCCAUUUACGAUUGGUUCAUUUCGCCGUGCUCUAGCCCCGCAUCGUCCCCUCCUCCUUGGCUGCCGCUCUCGUCCUCUGACGAAGAACCAUGGGGCUUGCAGCUGUGCCUGAGUCUCCACAAGGACGUUGGGUGGAGGAUAUCCGGUGCCAACGGGCCGCUCAUGUCGGUGUCCGAGAUCUCGGAGCUGUCGGAGUCACCGUCACCGUCCGGAGACGGGUCGAUGGGGGAUGCUAUGAUGAAUUGGGUCUCUGUUAGAGGAAUGUAUUUUCUUGCAAACUAAAUUGGUUUUCUGGAACAUGUCUUCAUAUUUUAGAUUUUAGUAUAUGGCUUCAGAACUAUUCAUUGGAUAUACUUUGUUGAUUCCAGCCCGUGGAUAAGAAUAUUUUAGUCACUGGAGAGAUUGUUGAACAUGUGACAUUGAUGCAAAUCUCUGGCCACCUACGGGUGAAACUGCUUGAAGACCAAGUUUGAAUAUGGACAAGGGCAGUGAAUUUCGGCAUGCGAGUUUACUUGCAGUCUCUGACCCUAAUGUAAUCAGUCCCAGUAGUGAGGGAAAGGCGCUGCCAACGAGGAUGUGGAGGAGAACAAGGUCGAGCCGGAUUGGUGAAGGGUUUUGAGGCUGGCUCUCUCUCCUCCUCGUCUUCGACAGUGUGAAGAAGAUCGAUGUGGAAAUGGACGCAUGCUGCAGGAGAAGCAGAGGCGUCUUGUGAGCCUUGGGCUCUUCAUCGAUCUGUUUGUGUGUGCUCUUGGUCGCAUGCACGCAUAAGGAUCGAUGGAUGGAAGGUGGGACACGAUUUUGUGUGGACACCUCUGUAUGCUCAAAGACUUAAUUCUGUUGAUUUAUGGCAUGGUGAUUGGUGAUUGAUUUCGAUUGCACAGGAAUCCUGGGGAGAGCAGUGGAAAAGCUAUGGGGAACUUGUGUGUUAACGGUGCUAGCAGUGAGGGUUUCUUUUGAGCUUCUCUUCGCUUCUCCUUAAUAAUCGGACCUUCCUGCUAUGCAUAGUGAAUUUUGAUAUUUUGAUGAUGCAAGCAUUGUUGUUUCUAGUGGCCGCAAGGAUUUCCUUUGGGCAUAUUUUCUUCUAGCUUAAUUAGUCAGGGUCGUUGAUUUUAUAAACAAUAUUCAGACUGUUCCUUGUAUUAGCAAAAAUCAGAUAAGACUUGAAUUAUUGUACUUAAAGACAACCUGAAUGUCUUGUGCCAUGCAAAAGAGAUGCUCUGCAUUUCCUUUCA